GCCCCUGGGACCGGGCAACUUCCCGGUCAUGGAACGAUCCUAAAGCGGGUGUCGCUGGUUCGAAUCCAGCUGGGGGCA
rnacentral:tRNA from 2 species